GCCGCAGCGGGGUUGAUCCCUGUCAGUGCAGCGGGGGCUGCAGAAGCGCCUGGCGGCGGCGGCGCUGAGGAGGAGGCGGCGGCAUCAUCCUCGCUCUCGGGCUGCAGGACCCACAGCAGCCAGGCGUGUUCCUCAUAGCCGGGGGGUCGGCCGCAGGUUUUCUUGCCAGCCCCCGGGGCAAGAGGCUUGGAAAGCUUCAGGGACGCUGGUGGUGACAUUUCCAGAGCAGUGCAGCUGGAGGCACGGUAGCCAUCAGCUCGACAUCUGUCCUUGAAUCCUGCUAAAAAAUACCCUGCUUUCUUUGAAUGGACGCUUGAACCUCUGACUUGUAGAAGAUACUGGCUGCAUUCAGGGAAGAAGAAAGAUGGCACUGAAACCAUUUACAUACCCUCUGCCUGAAACGAGGUUUCUUCAUGCAGGCAGGCUCGUGUACAAAUUCAAAAUCCGUUAUGGCAACUUCCACAGUGCUCCUGAUCUCAACAACACUGAAAGUGCUGUCAAGGAGUUAGAGGAAGCGAUUCGAGUAAUCCUUGGAAAUCUUGAUGAUUUGUGCCCAUUUUCUACUGACCACUUCACUAUCUUUCCCUAUUUGAGUAAGUGGGAGAGAGUAUCAAAGAUGAGAUUCAAACAUAAGAAUGUCCAUCUUGUGCCUUAUCCCUACAUUUGCACGAUGUAUUUAGAGCUCAACUCAUUUCAACAAAACUUAUCUUGUGGUAAAGAAGUAAACAAGGGCUGUGAUGAGCUUGUCAAGAGAAGAAAGGAAGUAUCAGAAAGUUCUGCAGUGGAAGAGCCCAUGAAGAGGAGAAGAGUGGAGGUGGGACCAGAGACUUCAUGCCCACAGUCGAGUAUGGACAGAACUGGAGCAGAUGGUGUUCACCACAUGAGUAAAGCAAAGCAUGGAUUUGAAACGAAUUCCUCCAACAGGAACAAGCAUGAGUGUAGCCCGGCAUCCCUCACUGUGGGCUGUAACCAAGUGAGAUUCUGGGCACCUGUGGAACCCAACCUUGAACAAAGACCAGCAACUGACCAGGCUGAGAGUGCAGAGCAGCUACUGCAUCAAAGGGACCAAGUAGUAGACAGAGGACACGUGGGGUCGGAAGGAAGAGGUCUCUCCAGGUUCUGGAGAAGGUACUGGCAUUGCAGCUGUGAGCAGAUCAGCUCUGACUGUGUUCGAGCACAUGUCAGGGACUGUGCCUAAUUCUGGCAGUUCAAGGCAUUCCGCAAGGUCUUGAACCAUGGGUAUAUCUUUUCUGUGGUUAAACCGAAGUAUCACAAGGCAAAGGAACAUGAAGGGAUGUUCUUUUGUCUCGUGGUAAGGUGCAAUAUUCCUUGUCAACCUUCCUCUUCCGUCUUUGGGGAAAAUACUUCUCAGGGGAGGGUGACUGCCCUCAGCCACACACCUCCCACAGCAUGGCUGGGGACAGUAACAUCUGCCAUCUCCAGGCAAUCUCUGAAGGCCUUAAAGACUCCUUCUAACAGGGCCUUCUUUCACUCCUGCUGAGGGAAGUGUGACCUUGAUGUGGCCGCGUGGCAGUGGUGGCCUUGUUAACUUCUGCUCCUAAAGCACCAUUUUAAACCCUGGUCCAGCACCCUGGCAUGAAGGUUCUGGCAGUGCUGACUAAGGGAGUUCUCCAGAGCUGCCAAAGCCUUGUCCCACGUGAGCAGACUUUUCCCUGCACAGCAUGAGCUGGACGUGGGCAGUAAUUUUGUUUGAUGGGUGCGUUAGUGUUAGAAGAAAUCAAACUCCUCAUUAAUCAUCAUGCAUGCCAGUCCCUUUCCCUUUUGAGACUAGGCCAUUAGGGCACAAGUUACUCAUUAUGUUUCAGUCUGUAUUUUUUCAGUCUUCCUCUGUAUUAUUUUGUGCUGGGGUUGUGUCUUCCUGGUGGACAGAAAUUACCUUGUUCUUAGAAUUCUCAGAUAAUUAUGGCUUAUAUAAUGUGCUCAUUUUGUCAUUGUUUCCCCAGUGUAAUCUUUUCACCACUACAGCAUCUCUUCGGAGGAAAGGACUGACCUGGAGUAUUAAUAGUUGUGGAAAGGACACUUUUGUGCUACUUACCCACCCCCAGAGGAGGGAACUCAUCUGCCCUGAUGUUGCUUGUCCCAGUCCUGGCAAUGCUGGUUAUUCGUGUGUAUCCAGUGAGGUGUCCUGCCAUUCUGCCAUCACUUGUGCUUAUUUUGCUUUCAUCUUGCAACUUCUGGCAUCCGAGUGCCUCCUGUGUGCGGCUCUGUGAGGCUCUGCCUGUCCCCCUAGUGGCUCCCAUUAUUCACAACUUGUGUCAUUAGCUAGAGGAUAUAGUCUCUGGUCCUUAGUCCGUGUAGUACCUGCCAGCAACGUUCCGGGCGGUCACGUCCAGGCAGACCACUGCCUUUCUCCUUGCACCAGCAGGCCAGGCACUGCGCUGGGCAGGUGUUCCCAGCUUGACCGGAGCAGCAGGAGGAGCAGGAGAGUUCCAGCCCUGAGCAGGCUCCUUCUGGCAGGGGCUGCCCCUGCGUUCCCUGCUCGGGGGCAGGUCGGUGCGGUGGGUCUGUCCGAGAGGAUGCUGAAACCUCUGCUCGAGAACCCGAGGAGGGAAAUGUGAUACGGAAUGGGGGCUGGGAGGAGGGAUGGGAAGCUCUGUGAACGAGAAGAGGAAGAAACGCCUGAGAAACCCAGGGAAUAAGAGAGACAUUGUCCAGAGGAGCAGAGAAAAACGAGGGGAGAGGUUUUGAUCCCUGCCUUUGCCCUGUCAGCAGCAGUGCCAGUAUGUGAGGGCUGUCUCCCUGCACAGCUCCUGGGCUGACAGGGACCUUUUUCACUAGAUCAGGUUGCUCAGAGCCUGGUCAAGCCUGACCAUGAAUGUUUCCAGGGAUGGGGCCUCCACCACCUCUCUGGGCAACCUGUUUCAGUGCUUUGCCACCCUCAUUGUAUUGCUCAUAAUUAAUCACUCCUCAUUUAAGGGUCUAACUACCCAGAAUUCAAGAAGGCUCAAGACAUUUUACUGGUAUUUGUUGCAAAACUUGCAACAGUUUUGAACAUAAGUUGUGAAAGUUCAAGAGCUAGAAGUAUUAGAGUGACAUGAUUUCAGAUCAUCCAGUCAAAUUUUAACCCAGCACUGCCAAGGCCCCCACUAAGCCAUGUCCCUCAGCACCACAUCUACACAGCUUUUUAGUCCCUCAGGGAUGGUGACUAGAGUCACCGGCAGCCCAUGCCAGGACCUGACAAGUCUUUCCAUGAAAAAACUGUUCCAAAUAACACUAAACCUCCCCUGCACAACUUGAGGCCUGACUGCCUCUUCCCAAUGCUCUUCCUGCUGCCACCCCUUCCCAGGAACAGGCUCUGGCAGGCGCUGCAGGCUGUGAGGCCUGGGCACUGCCUGCUUUGGCAGCAGCUCUGCCUGGGGUGCCACCUCCAUUCUAGUGAGUGCAGAGGACACGGCUUGCUGCCGGGGCUGGCCGAGCUGGGCCCUGCCCGUUGUAUGGCAGCCACUCGGGGUCCCUCGGGUCCUCACGUCCUGUUACAAUUCACUGAUGCCCAGGAAGGGGAGCGAGAGAGCCCAGGGUCUGGGCUGGGGCCAGGCCUGUCCAGGCAGUGACCCCCCCUUUGGUGGGGCAGCCUGUCCAGGUUGGGCACGGGAGGACCCUCCCUUUCAUCUGCCCCAGCUGUGCUGCCCUCCCAGGGGGUGGCAGCAGUGUCACACCAAGCCCUGGGGGGCUGCCCUGCAGGAGGGCGCUGCAGCCUCUCCUGGAGCUUGCAUGCCCUCCGGCCACCCUGUCCCCAGAGCCCUCCUGCUGUCCUCCUCGGCUGGGGACCAGGCCCAAAGGACUCCCCAGAUGGUGCAGUUGGGGACAAGGCUGUCACCAGGGGUCCCUGACAUCCCUUGAGACACACCAGCAUGAGGGCUUCCCCUUUGGAACCUCUGCUCUGGUACACAUUGCCACCAGUGCCACAACAGCCCCACCAGCCAGCAUGUCCACCAUUAGAAAAACAAUGUGUAGAUCUGGACCUGCAUCUCAAGCUAGUACAAGUAAUUAUCAACAAUCAGCAACAAUCAAUGGCAACAGUCAGUAACAGGAGCGCCAAGUAUGUAUUUAGUAUUACAGGUUAAUACAAACUUAUCUCCAAUAAAGUAAAUGCAUCGAUAGACCAGGAGAUAGAGCUGGGAGAGGUGACUUCUCUCUGUCUGCCUGUGGUAUCCAAUGCAUGAGACAAAUUCCAGGAGAGGAUCCAGCCAGCCAAGGGCUGGGGACAAACUGUGCUCCUUUCUUGGUCCUGCUCUGAGCCCACUGCUGGGAUGGUUCAGAGUCUCACAGUUUCACAUCUUCCUCCAGACACGGGGAGAAAUUCAGUCAUUUUUAUAUCACAGAGACCUAAGAGGGUACAGGACAUCACUGCUUUGAGUAGCCAAGAGAUGCUGCUAAUUGCCAUGUUUCACCCAGUACAGAUGAUGCUUUGUUCUCUGAGAUCAAUUUUUACUUUGCAGACUGUUUUCCUGUUCCUACAGAGUGAACAGCCAAUGGCAGUUACCAAUCCUUUCUCAAAGCAUCUUCCUCUUCCUCUACACUAUUUGUCACAUUUUCAGGCAGUAAAUUGCUGUUACAGUC